AGGGCAUCUCUCCCCACGUCUACUGCUACAGGACAGAUGAGUAGUAGACAACGAACUAGAGGCCUGGAGAGUUGAAUGACAGGCCUUGAUACCCUGUUGCUGAAGAGGAGACUGUGCUUCUGACUAUGACCUAGCAGACCCUAGGGGGCUUCCCAGAGCCUGCCACCGCGAUGUAAAGCCACCUCUGCUUCCUGUCCUGCCUUCAAGUCAUCAUUCAGUGUCUGAAAGGGAAGAUGUUCCCAGUUGUCUCCUGGAGUCAAAGACUCACUUCGCCCUUGGGGUUAACAGGUGCCUCCUCACCCCCAAACCGCCUGUCACAUUUCUGCGCAAGUCAUAGGGGACGCUCCAAGUG